AUUGAACGCUGGCGGCAGGCCUAACACAUGCAAGUCGAACGGCAGCAGGGUAUUGGCUGCCGCUUACGGGGGACGAGGGGCGGACGAGUGCGGAAUAUACCCGAUUGUGGGGGAUAACGGGGGGAAACGUUUGCUAAUACCCCAUACGACCCCAGGCUGAAAGCGGGGGAAAGCAGGGCCUCGUGCGACCUGAGGCGCCGAUGUCGGAUUAGGUAGGUGGUGGGGUAAAGGCUUACCAAGGCGACGAUCCGUAGCUGGUCUGAGAGGAUGAUCAGCCACACUGGAACUGAGACACGGUCCAGACUCCUACGGGAGGCAGCAGUGGGGAAUAUUGGACAAUGGGCGAAAGCCUGAUCCAGCCAUGCCGCGUGGGUGAAGAAGGCCUUCGGGUUGUAAAGCGCUUUUGUUCGGAAAGAAAAGCAGUAGGUUAAUACCGGGCUGUUUUGACGGUACCGAAAGAAUAAGCACCGGCUAACUUCGUG
rnacentral:rRNA from 1 species